rnacentral:ncRNA from 1 species
UGUCUCCUCUAUUCUCCUCAAAGAGAUUAGAUUUAGCCCGCUCCCGUAGCGGGCUUUUUUUU